rnacentral:tRNA from 1 species
GGGGCUGUGGUUCAGAGGGAGAGCGCUCACCUAGCAUGUGUGAGGCAUUGGGUUCGAUCCUCAGCACCA